rnacentral:rRNA from 1 species
CCUACGGGAGGCUGCAGUGGGGGAUAUUGCACAAUGGGGGAAACCCUGAUGCAGCGACGCCGCGUGUGGGAAGACGGUCUUCUGGAUUGUAAACCACUGUCCCCAGGGACGAAAAUGACGGUACCUGGGGAGGAAGCUCCGGCUAACUACGUGCCAGCAGCCGCGGUAAUACGUAGGGAGCAAGCGUUGUCCGGAAUUACUGGGUGUAAAGGGAGCGUAGGCGGGGAUGCAAGUUGGGUGUCAAAACUACCGGCUCAACCGAUAGUCGCACUCAAAACUGCAGCUCUUGAGUGAAGUAGAGGCAGGCGGAAUUCCUAGUGUAGCGGUGAAAUGCGUAGAUAUUAGGAGGAACACCAGUGGCGAAGGCGGCCUGCUGGACGAUGACUGACGUUGAGGCUUGAAAGCGUGGGGAGCAAACAGGAUUAGAUACCCCUGUAGUC